AUUGAACGCUGGCGGCAGGCUUAACACAUGCAAGUCGAGCGGGGGAAGGUAGCUUGCUACUGGACCUAGCGGCGGACGGGUGAGUAAUGCUUAGGAAUCUGCCUAUUAGUGGGGGACAACAUCUCGAAAGGGAUGCUAAUACCGCAUACGUCCUACGGGAGAAAGCAGUGGAUGUUGGGACCUUGCGCUAAUAGCUGAGCCUAAGUCGGAUUAGCUAGUUGGUGGGGUAAAGGCCUACCAAGGCGACGAUCUGUAGCGGGUCUGAGAGGAUGAUCCGCCACACUGGGACUGAGACACGGCCCAGACUCCUACGGGAGGCAGCAGUGGGGAAUAUUGGACAAUGGGGGGAACCCUGAUCCAGCCAUGCCGCGUGUGUGAAGAAGGCCUUAUGGUUGUAAAGCACUUUAAGCGAGGAGGAGGCUACUUUAGUUAAUACCUAGAGAUAGUGGACGUUACUCGCAGAAUAAGCACCGGCUAACUCUGUGCCAGCCGCCGCGGUAAGAC
rnacentral:rRNA from 1 species